CCACGCUGCGGCAGACGGAGACGCUGAAGAGGGACUUCAGCAGCCUGAUCGAGACGGUUCGCAGCACGACGCCCGCGGCGACGAUUGUCGUGUCAGGACCACUGCCCACGUAUCGACGAGGACACGAAAGGCUGUUUCGCGCUGAUGGAUUACACCCCAGCAGAAUCGGAGCGGAGCUGCUCUCUGACAACAUCUCCAGGACACUUCGCUCCAUGUGACUAGAUUUACACAAGCUCCAGUCUGGAUCCAGAACACCUGAGAAGAGAUGAUGCUGACCCUCAGAGGACCCCAGAUGAUGCUAACCUUGAAUCAACAAACAGAACUAACAAUUAUUGCUACAUGUGUGACUG